rnacentral:lncRNA from 1 species
UGGAAAUGGCUGGUCCGAGUUGGAGUUGAUCUCGCAAGGCUAGGAUACGCUGGAGAUGAGGAGGAGAAAGCCAUAUAACCUGAAUCGGAGGGAUUCUAAGACAGGGUCUUCAAGGUUGGACCUUGGAACUUCACGUAACAGGAGUAUAAGGGCAAGUGGGGGGUGAGUACAGGCCUCCCAAGGCUUGGGAGGCCAUGUUUUCCGGCGAGAUAAGGUGGAAACCGGUGGAAAAGGGGCUAGGGUGUUGGAGAGGAGUUGAGAGGAUUUGGGGACGAGGGGGUUUCA